UGGCUGGUUUACUAGUCCGAAUUGUAGUUUAAAGAAGCGUUUUCGGUGGCAGCCUGGGUAUAAAUCCUUUGGAAUAGGGUAUCAUAGAGGGUGAGAAUCCCGUCUUUGACUCAGUGAAUGCUACUAUGUGAUACGUUUUCAAAGAGUCGAGUUGUUUGGGAAUGCAGCUCAAAAUGGGUGGUAAAUUUCAUCUAAAGCUAAAUAUUGGCGAGAGACCGAUAGCGAACAAGUACCGUGAGGGAAAGAUGAAAAGAACUUUGAAAAGAGAGUUAAACAGUACGUGAAAUUGUUGAAAGGGAAACGUUUGACACCAGUCAUGCGGGUGGAAAAUCAGUCUUUUAGAGUAGGGAGUGGUGGGGGUUCGGACCGCAAGGCUGGCCUUUAUCUCAUCUCUGCGCUAAUGGAUGCACUUUUUCAUUUGCAGGUCAACAUCAGUUUCUUCUGCUGGACAAAACUCCGAGAGAAGGUAGCAGCUUAGGCUGUGUUAUAGCUCUGGAGCGAUACAGUGGAGGGGACUGAGGUUUUCGCAGUGUGUGCUUUCGGGCAAGGUUGAUUGGGUGCUAUGUGAUCGUUCGGUGUACAAUGCAUGCAUUUUGCGCUGUGUCUUUUGCAUACUCGCCUGACUCGACUCUUCCACGCUUAGGAUGUUGACUUAAUGGUUUUAAACGACCCGUCUUGAAACACGGACCAAGGAGUCUAACAUAUAUGCAAGUGUUUGGGUGGCAAACCCAUACGCGUAAUGAAGGUGAACGUAGGUGCGAUCCGCAAGGUGCAGCAUCGACCGAUCUUGAUAUUUUUGGAUAGAUUUGAGUAAGAGCAUAUAUGCUGGGACCCGAAA
rnacentral:rRNA from 1 species